rnacentral:rRNA from 1 species
AUGGGAGCAGCCUUGUCCAUCUCCGCCAUCGACGCACUAGCCAGAGCGAUCAAGAACCACGCGCCUCAGAGGUGGUUAACUUCUCCCCAUCAUGGCACCGCCGAUUGGUCUGGCCUGCCGGAGGACCUCCUCCUGACCGUCAUGGCAGAGCUGGAUGUCCCCAGCAUUAUCCGAUCCGGCGCCGUCUGCACAUCCUGGCACCACGCCUACGAGACCUUCCGCCGCCUCCGCCUCCCCUUGCCGAAACAGGCCCCUUGUCUGUUCUACUCCUGCGACGAGUACGGGCCCAACUACGCCGCCCUGUAUUGCCCCUCCACCAACGCCACGUUCCGUGUCCCCUUUCAAAGGCCCCUCGAACAGAGCCGGGGAUUCGUCUCCUCUUGUCACGGCUGGGUUUUCGCCACCGACGAGUCAGGGGACCCAUACCUUCUCAACCCUAUUAUUGGCUCCCGGGCCGCACUACCACCGUCCGUGACAAUCUACCACGGGGAGAGCCGCUAUGACCAGGACCAUAAGCGUGCCCUGAAGGCUCGACUGGAAAACAGAUCCCACAACCCCAUGAUCACCUGGGCAUGGCAUUCGGGGUAUAUCCGGGUUGCCAUCUCCACUGCCACCGAGAUAGCCGCAUGCACCGUGGUAAUCGUGCAUACCCCAGACGAGUGGAGGCUCUCCUUUGCUAGGCCCGGUGACAAGCAGUGGACAUUGCUCCCUAGCGACCAAGGCUUCAUAGAUGUUCUUUACAAUGAUAAGGACGGCUUGUUCUACGCUCUAGGUUAUGAUAGUUCUGUUUACACGUUAGAUCUCAAUGGGCCUUUGCCGAUGGUGACGAUGAUCAUGCGUGGCGUGUCAGCCUGGGGCAACCCUACCAAGUAUCUCGCAUUCUCCCCAUCAGGUGAACUCCAGCAAGUCUGGAGGAUCUGGAAUUGCGCAGAUGUUCCAAUCAAAGAUAUGGUCGAUGAAGGCGGUGUAGAUUUGGCCAACGAAUAUGACGACGACAAGUUCAGUGAGCUGUUUGAAGAGGAUUAUAAGUUCACUACGGUGAAGCUCUUCAUUUUCAAGGUUGACAUUGGCAGGCAGAAGCUGGUGGAGCUACGGGAUAUUGGAGACCACGCGCUAUUCCUCGGCUACAACAAUAUCGUGUAUGUUCCCACUAAGGACUUUUCGGCGUUCCAACCAAACCAUGCUUACCUCACGGAUGACCGUUUUCUAUGGAAGCCAACAUUGAAAGAGGACCUGGGUAUUUGGAGCUUCAAGGAGAGGAGUAUGCAGAAACUUCAGGAUGCAUGGCCAUGCAUGUAUUCUUGGCUAGAUUUACCAGCUCCGAUUUGGAUCACGCCAAGGGAGGAUUCAGACUUGUACUCUAGCUACUUUUACGGUUUUACCUGCCUGCCUCCCUCUACUGCUCGUCAUCGAUCGCGACACCUAGACUGGUACGAGAAGUCGACGACACAGACGACCCCCGGCGACGGCACCACCGAGUCUUCAUCAGGUUCAGCGCGGUGGUCCGACCUCCCCGACGACCUCCUCGGCAAUAUCCACGUCAGGAUCGCCACCCUGCACGACCACGUGCUCCUCGCCGCCGUCUGCAGGUCGUGGCGCGCAGCCACUGCGCGGCUCCCGGCGCCUCCGGCCGUCCCGCUGCUGCUCAUCUCGCCGUGCAGCAACCGAUCCAGUGGGAGGAAGCACCUGUGCGGGCCUGACUACGCCUGGGCCACGCGCGUCCCGAACAAGGUGGAGAACAAGUUGUUCGUCGGCUCGCACGAUGGCGGCUGGAUCGCCGCCUUCGACAACCGCGAGCUCACGCUCGUGAACCGUGACAACUUGGCACAAGAAGAUGUUCGCGGACAUCACUUUCUGCGACGGACCCGAUGGUUGCCCGACCGCGAGCCUUUCUUCAAGGUCUUCAUGCUAGUCGACGCAAACCCCGGCGGCAUCUACUGGCACAAGUGGGCUGAGGUGAAGAGCUUUGGUGAGUAUGCCUUGUUCUUGGGGCCAACAAGGUCUAAAGCGGUGCACGUGCCUGUUGGCGCCGAGCGCUGCGGUCUAGUGAGAAACCGCAUCUAUUACUCGAAAGCUACCCGCUCUAAAGAACAUGAGUUGCGUGGCAACGAAUUGUACACGGUGGAAUUGGAAUGUGGUGACCACAUGUGUUGUAGGGAAGACCAAAGUAUCGCUGAUGGCCUAGAGAGGACAGGAUACUACAUGAUGGGUUGGGACUAUGCUUCAAUGUGGGUACACCCUUCAGAGUUGUAA